rnacentral:rRNA from 1 species
AUGGACGAGUUGGGUGAGGGGAUGAUCAUGGUGGUGGCCAGAUCCGCCAUGGCUGCAGCAACUUCCACCUCCUCGCUCGCGCCGGGACCCCGACACCAUGAGCUGCUCAUCAAGGGCCGCAUCUCCUUCAUCCUCAUGUCCCAGGAUAAGCAGCAGAAGAGGAGAGUUCAUCCCCUCCUGGCCCGACACCGGCGGCCAUGGGGCUGCGCCUCCUCUCCGCCUCUGAGGAGAGGAGCGGGUACGAGCCUGCAGCUCCUGAUGUGCUUCAAUUCGAUUUGGAGUAGAGCAAUUGAUGUACUCCUACUGCUGCUGUAG